GUGGGUAUAGCUCAGUGGUAGAGCACAUGUGUAACAUGCCUGAGGUCCUGGGUUCAGUCCCCAGUACUUCCA
rnacentral:tRNA from 1 species